rnacentral:rRNA from 1 species
CCCUGCCCUUUGUACACACCGCCCGUCGCUACUACCGAUUGAAUGGCUCAGUGAGGCCUUCGGACUGGCUUGGGGAGGUUGGCAACGACCACCCUAAGCCGGAAAGUUCGUCAAACUCGGUCAUUGAG